GAUGAACGCUGGCGGCGUGCCUAAUACAUGCAAGUCGAGCGAACUGACGAGAAGCUUGCUUCUCUGAUGUUAGCGGCGGACGGGUGAGUAACACGUGGAUAACCUACCUAUAAGACUGGGAUAACUUCGGGAAACCGGAGCUAAUACCGGAUAAUAUUUUGAACCGCAUGGUUCAAAAGUGAAAGACGGUCUUGCUGUCUCUUAUAGAUGGAUCCGCGCUGCAUUAGCUAGUUGGUAAGGUAACGGCUUACCAAGGCAACGAUGCAUAGCCGACCUGAGAGGGUGAUCGGCCACACUGGAACUGAGACACGGUCCAGACUCCUACGGGAGGCAGCAGUAGGGAAUCUUCCGCAAUGGGCGAAAGCCUGACGGAGCAACGCCGCGUGAGUGAUGAAGGUCUUCGGAUCGUAAAACUCUGUUAUUAGGGAAGAACAUAUGUGUAAGUAACUGUGCACAUCUUGACGGUACCUAAUCAGAAAGCCACGGCUAACUACGUG
rnacentral:rRNA from 1 species